rnacentral:tRNA from 1 species
GCCUCCAUAGCUCAGCGGCAGAGCGGCUGCUUCGUAAGCAGCAGGCCGAGGGUUCAAAUCCCUCUGGAGGCU